rnacentral:rRNA from 1 species
AUUGAACGCUGGCGGCAGGCUUAACACAUGCAAGUCGAGCGGGGUGAUGGUGCUUGCACUAUCACUUAGCGGCGGACGGGUGAGUAAUGCUUAGGAAUCUGCCUAUUAGUGGGGGACAACAUCUCGAAAGGGAUGCUAAUACCGCAUACGUCCUACGGGAGAAAGCAGGGGAUCACUUGUGACCUUGCGCUAAUAGAUGAGCCUAAGUCGGAUUAGCUAGUUGGUGGGGUAAAGGCCUACCAAGGCGACGAUCUGUAGCGGGUCUGAGAGGAUGAUCCGCCACACUGGGACUGCGACACGGCCCAGACUCCUACGGGAGGCAGCAGUGGGUAAUAGUGGACAAUGGGGGGAACCCUGAUCCAGCCAUGCCGCGUGUGUGAAGAAGGCCUUAUGGUUGUAAAGCACUUUAAGCGAGGAGGAGGCUCUUUUGGUUAAUACCCAAGAUGAGUGGACGUUACUCGCAGAAUAAGCACCGGCUAACUCUGUGCCAGCCGCCGCAGAAA